GGAACAUACCUUUUGGUGUCGGAACAACACAGGGAACAGCUUGUGCUAAGUACCGGAUAAGCCCGUUACGGGGAAACGAUUUAUCGCCGAAAGAUUGGGCCCGCGUCUGAUUAGACUAGUUAGGUGAGGUAACGGCUCACCAAGGCGACGAUCAGUAGCUGGUCUGAGAGGAUGAUCAGCGACAUUGGGACUGAGACACGGCCAAACUCCUACGGGCAGGCAUGCAGUGGGGAAUAUUGGACAAUGGGCUGCAAGCCUGAUCCAGCCAUGCCGCGUGAGCUGAUGAAGGCCCUACGGGUUGUAAAGCUCUUUUGUGCGGGAAGAUAGUGACGGUACCGCAAGAAUCAUGCCCCG
rnacentral:rRNA from 1 species